rnacentral:rRNA from 1 species
AUUGAACGCUGGCGGCAUGCUUUACACAUGCAAGUCGAACGGCAGCGCGGGCUUCGGCCUGGCGGCGAGUGGCGAACGGGUGAGUAAUGCAUCGGAACGUGCCCAGUAGUGGGGGAUAGCCCAGCGAAAGCCGGAUUAAUACCGCAUACGACCUGAGGGUGAAAGCGGGGGACCGAAAGGCCUCGCGCUAUUGGAGCGGCCGACGUCGGAUUAGCUAGUUGGUGGGGUAAAGGCUUACCAAGGCGACGAUCCGUAGCUGGUCUGAGAGGACGACCAGCCACACUGGGACUGAGACACGGCCCAGACUCCUACGGGAGGCAGCAGUGGGGAAUUUUGGACAAUGGGGGCAACCCUGAUCCAGCCAUGCCGCGUGCGGGAAGAAGGCCUUCGGGUUGUAAACCGCUUUUGUUCGGGAAGAAAUCCUCUGGGCUAAUACCCCGGGGGGAUGACGGUACCGGAAGAAUAAGCACCGGCUAACUACGUG